rnacentral:lncRNA from 1 species
GAUUGAGAAGUGAAGAAAUAGGGGAAAAACUUUUACUUGGAGAGUCUUGGAAGGAACUGAUAAUAAAUCAAGUUUUUCUUAUGAGCUUUUUUUCGAGCCUUUGUAUUUCUGUUUUUCUUCAUUAUCUGCUGGAAAACAUUCAGUAAUUUUCUUCAAUAGAAACGAUAAUAUGUAUACCUCAAUCCAUACAAAAUGUUUGUACCUAAGAAAAAACAAUCAAAAUAAUAUACUAACUGUGGCAAGCAAGAGAGCAAUCUAUUUGGUUCUUUUAACAAACAUCAUCAUUGGUUCCAUAUUAGUAAUCACAUAUUUAUUGUUGUAUGCUAUCAAAUAUAACACAAUCCACAAGCAAGUUUCCCAAAAAGUAUAUGAAGAAACCUGUAAAAAGGGACAAAAGAGAAGAUAAAUUUUCAAUCAUCUUCAUUGGAAAUUUUAACAGAGUUAAAAAAAAAAUACAAAAAUAGCAAAAAGAAAUUGCAAGGGAUACAUGAAUCACUAUGACUUACGGUAAAAGAUUAAUAUUCAUAAAAUAGGAGGAAGAAAGCUUUGAGAAAUGGAACACACUUCAUAAGAAGCUUAAUAAAUGUAUAUGUAUUUGACUGUCUUAAUGCAAAAAAUCCUACAAAUAAUAGUGGCAGAAAUAAAAGAUUUGUUUUCUAAAGAACCAAAUGUAAUGAAUUCAACCAUUUCAAAAGCGUUAUGAGUUGUGGGCGGAGAGGUGCAAGAAUAGUAAUGUUGCAGUGCAAUUAAAAUCAAUUUUCAUUGUUUAUAUGAAGAAACUUGUAGAAAGGGACAAAAGAGAAUAUCAAUUUUCAAUCAUCCUUGCUGAUAUUUUUUAACAGAGGUAGACGAAAGUCACCAAGAUAGAAAAAAGGUAUUGUCAUUGUUACAUGAAUCACUAUGAUUUAUAGAAAAGAUUAAACUCCAUGAAAUUGGAGGAAGAAAACUUUGAAGAAUGAAACAAACUACAUAAGAAGCUUAAUUAAUGAAUUUGAAUUUGACUACCCUAUAGCGGAAAAAAAAACACCUACAAAUAAUAGUGACAGGAAGUCCCUCUAUUUAUAGACAACAAAUGGUAGUGUGAACAAAUUUUUAUUGUGCCUUGUCGAAAGGGUCACAACUCAUUGGAAAAGUUACAACUUUUUGGAAAGGUCACAGCGUUCCAUAAAAAUCAUAUUUUUUCAUAAAAGUUGCAACUCUUCAUAAAAGUUACCAAGUUCAAAAAAAAAAGUUACUACUUUUCAUACAAGUUACAAUUUUUCAGAAAAGUCGUAAUUUUUCAUAAAAGUCACUACUUUUCAUACAAGUUACAACUUUUCAGAAAAGUCGUAACUUUUCAUAAAAGUCACUAUUUUUCAUUAAAGUCAUAACUUUUCAUGAAAGAGGAAUACUAGUUUUGUAAAUAAAUAAAUUAAAAGGGAAUUAAUGAAAGGGGAAGGUUAGUUUUGUAAAUAAAUAAAGUAAAAGGGAAUUCUUGUUUGUGGUGGUGCCACACAAUCCACAAGCAAUUUUCCCAAAAAGUAUAUGAAGAAACCUGUAAAAAGGGACAAAAGAGAAGAUAAAUUUUCAAUCAUCAUCACUGGAAUUUUUAAUAGAGU